CUGACAAGCUGGGGCCAUUGGGCAACAACACCAUAUCUUGUCUGGCUAAACAGCCGUUGUACGUCAGAUUAAGCUCGGACUAUGUCUGUUGAACAAUAAUCGGGAAUGACAAUGCCAAUGGUUUUAACGAGUACUGUUGUGAUCGUGGUCGUUUAAUGAAAGAUUUUUUAUUUUGUCUUCUAGAACAAGUCGUCAUAGGUAAAACGAAAUCCAUUUCAAAUAACUGUGUGUUUAAUAACUACUUGUCCUAUGCAAUGAUCUGACACAACUUCAAGUUCGCAUCCCGAUUUUUGACCUUUUAUUAACAAAUCGAUUCAUCACACGUGCGUUUGAAU
rnacentral:lncRNA from 1 species